rnacentral:rRNA from 1 species
UUUAACUGAGCGUUCAGUUACUUGACGUAGACCCGAAACCGGGCGACCUACCCAUGAGCAGGAUGAAGCGAAAGUAAAAUUUCGUGGAGGUCCGAACCCACGAGCGUUGAAAAGCUCGGGGAUGACUUGUGGGUAGCGGUGAAAUUCCAAUCGAGCCCGGAGAUAGCUGGUUCUCCCCGAAAUAGCUUUAGGGCUAGCCUCAAGGUGAGAGAUACGGAGGUAGAGCACUGAAUGUCCUAGGGGGUAUUGCACCUACCGAAGACUAUCAAACUCCGAAUGCCGUCAUCUUAUACUUGGGAGUCAGACUGUGGGUGAUAAGAUUCAUAGUCGAAAGGGCAACAGCCCAGAUCGUCAGCUAAGGUCCCUAAAUGUAAGUUAAGUGGUAAAGGAUGUGGGAUUGCACAGACAACCAGGAUGUUGGCUUAGAAGCAGCCACUCAUUCAAAGAGUGCGUAAUAGCUCACUGGUCGAGUGAUCCUGCGCCGAAGAUUUCCGGGGCUAAAACUUACUACCGAAGCUACGGCAUCAGUAAUGAUGGGUAGGGGAGCUUCCCAUACGGGUUGAAGCAUGACCGUAAGGACAUGUGGACAGUAUGGGAGUGAGAAUGUUGGCAUGAGUAGCGAGAUGUGGGUGAGAAUCCCACAGGCCGUAAACCCAAGGUUUCCAGGGGAAGGUUCGUCCGCCCUGGGUUAGUCGGGACCUAAGCUGAGGC